rnacentral:rRNA from 1 species
CACCUGUUUAACAAAAACAUGUCUUUUUGAAAUAAAUUUAAAGUCUGACCUGCCCACUGAAAUUUUUAAAUGGCCGCAGUAUUCUAACUGUGCAAAGGUAGCAUAAUCAUUAGUCUUUUAAUUGAAGGCUGGAAUGAAUGGUUGGACGAAAUAUUAACUGUUUCAUUUUAAUUUUUUAUAGAAUUUUAUUUUUUAGUCAAAAAGCUAAAAUAAAAUUAAAAGACGAGAAGACCCUAUAAAUCUUUAUAUUUAAUUUAUUUUUAUUAUAAAGAUUAAUUUUAUUUAAAUAAAUUUAAAUAUUUUAUUGGGGUGAUAUUAAAAUUUAAAAAACUUUUAAUUUUUAAAAACAUUAAUUUAUGAGUAAUUGAUCCAGUAAUAUUGAUUAAAAAUUUAAGUUACUUUAGGAUAACAGCGUAA